AACGAACGCUGGCGGCAUGCCUAACACAUGCAAGUCGAACGAGACCUUCGGGUCUAGUGGCGCACGGGUGCGUAACACGUGGGAAUCUGCCCUUUGCUUCGGAAUAACAGUUAGAAAUGACUGCUAAUACCGGAUGAUGUCGAAAGACCAAAGAGUUAUCGGGCAAGGAUGAGCCCGCGUAGGAUUAGGUAGUUGGAGGGGUAAAGGCCUACCAAGCCGACGAUCCUUAGCUGGUCUGAGAGGAUGAUCAGCCACACUGGGACUGAGACACGGCACAGACUCCUACGGGAGGAAGCAGUGGGGAAUAUUGGAGGAUGGGCGAAAGCCUGAUCAAGCAAUGCCGCGUGAGUGAUGAAGGCCUUAGGGUUGUAACGCUCUUUUACCAGGGAUGAUAAUGACAGUACCUGGAGAAUAAGCUCCGGCUAACUCCGUG
rnacentral:rRNA from 1 species